AAAUAUCCAUUUUUGUCCAGGUUUGUUGGUCUAAAAAGUUCAUACAAUUUACUCUGGUUGCCAUGCUGAAGUCCUAAACCUAUGAACAUUUUAUUGAAAUUAUAAGGAAUCUACUUAAGCUUAGGAGAAUUGUUGAGGAUCAAUAUCUACUUUUUGGUAUGUUUCUUUUUAAUUUAUUUUUUUCUGACUUGAUUUGGAUAUUUUCGUGUUCCCUUAAGAAAAAAAAUGUUGUGAUUCGAAAAGAGAUUAUCUUGAUUCAUGGAAUUUUUCCUGUUGAUGGUGGGAAGAUAGAAAUGUUGGUUUGCUUGCAAGUUCAUUGUAAUUUUUAUCUUUACUUUCUUAUAAUUGAUAUCAUGAAGUCUAGCGAAGUAUCCUUGUGGAUUCACAAAUUUUGGUGUGCAAUGAGAUGGCUAUAAUGUAAAUAGACUUCUUGCACUUUUUAAUCAACAAACAAUGGUAAAGCCCUAUUAGUUAAUGGUAGAAAAUUAACUAUAAGUAAGAAUAAAUGUCUCUUCACUAUACAUAGUAUUUUCAUAUAACUAUUAAAAAUGUG
rnacentral:lncRNA from 1 species